rnacentral:rRNA from 1 species
GGAUUCACUGGGUUUAGAGGGUGCGUAGGAGGGUAGGUAAGUCAGUGGUGAAAUCUUCGAGCUUAACUCGGAAACUGCCGUUGAUACUAUCUAUCUUGAAUACCGUGGAGGUGAGCGGAAUAUGUCAUGUAGCGGUGAAAUGCUUAGAUAUGACAUAGAACACCAAUUGCGAAGGCAGCUCGCUACACGAAUAUUGACUCUGAGGCACGAAAGCGUGGGGAUCAAACAGGAUUAGAUACCCUGGUAGUCCACGCCCUAAACGAUGGAUACUCGACAUACGCGAUACACAGUGUGUGUCUGAGCGAAAGCAUUAAGUAUCCCACCUGGGAAGUACGACCGCAAGGUUG